AAUUGAUGUAGUUUUGUAGCCAUGAUAGUGCAUAGCAAUUUGAUCAAGAAUUAGGGUUGAGUGGUGAUUCAUGAGAGUUGGUUUUCUAUCAAACGAAGAAGGAAAACACAUGGCAUUAUGGACUUGUUAUGGGCCAUAGCAAGGGCUGCGACCAGACCAUAAUAUCACUUGGUCGUUGUACCAAGAAAAGGUAAGGCAUGGUAUGAAGUUUUUGGGUCUGUUAUAG
rnacentral:lncRNA from 1 species